rnacentral:antisense_RNA from 1 species
GUCCUCUAGGCAAGAAAAAAAAAGAAGACAAAGGAAAGACAAAGGAAGGAAAUGGAAGGAAAGCGCAAAGAAGGAAAGUCUACUCUGAAUCUUGACAUGUCAGCUUGAUUCUGGAAGUGUGUUUAUCUGGAGGACUUACCCACAACUUUAACCUUGAUGCUUGCAUGUGCCUCUCCAGCUUCGUUUUUCAGAUUGAUGUGGUAAACACCAGAGUCAUCUCUUUCAGCUACAUCAAUGACCAGAGUGCUGCUAUCAGGUCCUCAACAAACCAGAAGGCUCGUUAGGAUCCAUAAUAGCUGCCAGUGUAGAGGAGCCUCAGUUACUUUCGCUUUGAUCAUUAUCCCUGGGAGAAGAAGACAACAGCUCCUGGUGACCACAAUAAGAGACUUCAUUUUUACCUCUUACGAAGAGCUCAGUGGAACAUUUGUCAUCACCGGCUGUCACAUAAUACUCCGAAUCAUCUGUCAUCUGACAGUUAUUGAUAAACAGGAUUCUCUGGCAUCCUUUGUGUUCAAAGAUGUAUCUGUUUUGAAUAGGAGGAAAAUAAACAGAGUCUGUGAAUGUGA